UUAACAGGUGGAAAUGGCAAAUGUGACCAAGAUGACAACGAUGAACAUCGCUCUUUGAAUUUGUUGCUGACGGUGAAUAAAAAAACAAGGUUUUCUCAAGAAAACUACAAUGCAGACCUGCAGCGAAAAACAGCCGUCGGCAAGGCCGUUUCCAGCUAAGGCAUUUACUGAAGGAUGAUCCCGUCAGAACAAUGUACGACUAUGAUGAGGAGGAAGAGGAAGAAGAAGAGAGCCACACGGAGAUGGGACUAUGGGGAUUUCGGAAUGAGAAUGAGAAGAAAGAGAAGGACGAAAUUCCACCUACACUGGACCCAAAUAUGCUGCCUCCAUCAGCGCCGAAAUUGGAGAUAAAGACUAACGACUCAGUUCUGGUCUCAUGGCAUGUCCCUAUACAGGAGAAGUACCCAAUCGACCAUUUCUAUGUGGAAUUUUAUCAGUACAAAAAGGGCGAGUUCCGAUCCAAAUGCUGCACAUUUGUGGAUAAUAAGCCGAAAAUAAAUCGGCAAGUGAAGCCUAUCACGAGGAGCUGAUCGACUGUCUCGCGUCAAAUUUUGAUUACAAGUUCCGAGUUGCGGCCUCAUACCCUACACAUAGUCACUCGUAUGGUCAGUGGAGCAAGGAAAUACAUCUACCCAAUGAUUUUGAAGGAAAGGACGCUUUUGACAUAGAUGAUUUGUAAUGAAUUUGUUGCCUAAAUUAAUCGUAGAUCUUUCGGUUGACCAAAGAAGAUUAUACAAAUCUAUUAAUUUAAUCGGAUUAAAGAUGUUUUUCAUCAUGCGUAUCAAAAAAUACCAUGGUUUUACAGAAUGUUUGUUUAAUAUUUAAACAAACCGUGUUGCGUGAAAUUAGAUCCAUGAAUAUUAGGACAGUGCUUUAAUGUUCUUACCACAACACCUUCAAAAUUAUUUGAAAAAGAUACGGUAAAUAAGACAUUUGUUUUAUAAUUUAGUUUAAUGUAGCAUUUUGAAAAAUGAAUACUGCAACUUUUUUUAAGGAUGUUAAAUAUUCUAAAAUAAUUCAACAGAAGCAAUCAAGGGGAAUCGUAAUAAUUGUUUGUUUUCUUAAAUUAUUGUAAGCAUCUUUCUUUCAAAAGUAUCGUGUUCUCAUAAUAAAUAAAAAACAUAUUUUCAUUGAUUGUAACUUCUUUACUUUAUGCUUCUGCCCAGCCUCUCGAAAUUAAUACAGUUUCCUCAACCAUAGUAUUUAUGAUGACUUUUUGCGAUGGUAGCUCCAACUGCGUUUGGACGUAUACACACCAAUGUCUGCUUUAUUACAAUACCUUUAGGAGGGUACUUCUGACUUUCAUUGAAAAUUAAACCUUAUUUGUUAAAAACAACGUCUUCUAAGCAAUGAGGCACGCUUCUCGGUGAGCGCAUGAAUGAUCUUUGCGCCUGCAGUCACAAGCAUAUCGACGGUGAAACUACCAAACCGCGUAUCUCGGUUUGCGACGUUGCAGACUUCCUGUCAUGCUUUAUUUUUUAAAUAAAAAACUACUUAACGUCUAGUCUUGAAAAUUUCUGCGAUUUUUCCUCUUCGCGAGGAGAAAAUUCUGUGAAAAUUUCAAUGAAUGAUAUUGAUUUGGUCUAGUUCAAAAAAUAAAAUGCGAGCGUAGAUUUUUAAACACCGCAAACGAGAUACGUGGUUUGGUAGUUUCACCGUCGAUAUGCAACACGGACAACUCGCGAGCCCGAAUGGUUGCAUCCAGGCGUUGAUAUCAUGGUAGAGCCGGUCCUUUGGUUGGACAAACGAAAUCACAAAAAUAUUUCAGAUAUUGAUCUAUUUUCAUCUUUGAUUAAUAGAUAAUGAUAGUUUCUCCUUGAAUUUACCAACAAUACACACCUAAUACCCCUAAUUAUACGUAUUUUCUUCUAUUUUGUUUUUAAUUUGAUAAUACUUUCCAAUCCA
rnacentral:lncRNA from 1 species